CUGGUAUGAAGCCACCGACUUACCAUGAAGUGCGGGUUACCCAACUCAAAAAAGAAGUGAAACAUACUGAAAAUUUGAUGAAGUAUCAUAAAGAGGAUUGUGCAAAAUACGGGUGUUCCAUAAUGGCUGAUGGUUGGACUGAUAAGAGAGGAAGGACAUUGAUUAACUUUUUAGUUAAUUGUCCAAGAGGAACCAUAUUUGUUGAGUCGGUUGAUGCUUCUAGCUAUUCAAAGGAUGGGUAAAAACUAUUUGAAUUACUAGACAAGUUUGUGGAGAAAGUUGGAAAAGAGAAUGUGGUGCAAGUUAUCACUGAUAGUGCUGCAGCUAAUGUGUUGGCGGGGAGGUUUUUGGAAGCUAAGUAUGAACACUUGUAUUGGACACCAUGUGCUGCUCAUUGUUUAGACUUGAUGUUAGAAGACAUUUUCAAGAUACCUAGAC